GACACUCAGGGGACGAAAGCGUGGGUAGCGAACCGGAUUAGAUACCCCGGGUAGUCCACGCCCUAAACGUUGGAUGCUAGGUGUGGGGGUGUAAACCUCCGUGCCGCAGCUAACGCAUUAAGCAUCCCCGCCUGGGGAGUAUGGUCGCAAGGCUGAAACUCAAAGGAAUUGGCGGGGGCCCGCACAAGCGGUGGAGCAUGUGGUUCAAUUCGACGCAACGCGAAGAACCUUACCCAGGCUUGAACAGCGAGUGACCACUUCCGAAAGGGAGCUUCCGCAAGGACACUCGUAGAGGUGCUGCAUGGCUGUCGUCAGCUCGUGUCGUGAGAUGUUGGGUUAAGUCCCGCAACGAGCGCAACCCUUGUCUGCUGUUGCCAUCAGGUUAUGCUGGGCACUCUGCAGAGACUGCCGGUGAUAAACCGGAGGAAGGUGGGGAUGACGUCAAGUCAGCAUGGCCUUUAUGUCUGGGGCUACACACGUGCUACAAUGGCAGAUACAAACCGUCGCGAGACCGCAAGGUGGAGCUAAUCGGAAAAAGUCUGUCUCAGUUCGGAUAGCAGGCUGCAACUCGCCUGCUUGAAGUUGGAAUCGCUAGUAAUCGCGGAUCAGCACGCCGCGGUGAAUACGUUCCCGGGCCUUGUACACACCGCCCGUCACAUCACGAAAGCCGGUUGUACCAGAAGUCGCUGAGCCAACCGCAAGGGGGCAGGCGCCCAAGGUAUGGUCGGUGAUUGGGGUGAAGUCGUAACAAGGUAGCCGUAGGGGAACCUGC
rnacentral:rRNA from 1 species